rnacentral:SRP_RNA from 1 species
CCGUGCUAGAUGGGGAGGUAGCGGUGCCCUAUAACCUGCAAUCCGCUAUAGCAGGGUUGAAGUCCUGCCUGAGGCUAGUACUGGUAGGGCCUGGCCCGAGCAAGUGAUGAGGAUGGUUGGGUCCUGCGCAACGGAAAUUCACGAACCCUGUCAGGUCCGGAAGGAAGCAGCAGUAAGUGGACACUUUCGUGUGCCGCAGGGGCGCCUGGCCGGAGUUAACUACUCGGUUCCCGCCUGUGAGUGCUUUGUCGAAGGUAGGUGCACGG